rnacentral:lncRNA from 1 species
CUCUUAUCUAGGAAUGUGGGUGCCGGCAGGACAGGCGAUUGGUGGCUAUGGACCGCCCCCUGCAGGAAGAGGAGCCCCCCCGCCACCCCCACCGUUCACCUCCUACAUCGUGUCCACCCCUCCUGGAGGCUUUCCCCCUCCCCAGGGCUUCCCUCAGGGCUACGGUGCCCCGCCACAGUUCAGUUUUGGCUACGGGCCUCCACCUCCACCGCCAGAUCAGUUUGCCCCUCCGGGGGUUCCUCCUCCACCAGCCACUCCCGGGGCAGCACCUCUGGCUUUCCCACCGCCUCCGUCUCAGGCUGCCCCGGACAUGAGCAAGCCCCCGACAGCUCAGCCAGACUUCCCCUAUGGUCAGUAUGGCCUGGGUUCCUAUUCUCCAGCCCCGCCGGGCUGCGGCCCACACUUUGUUUACAGUCUUAUGGUCAGGCUGAGCAGUGAUGUGGCCUAGGUUACGGGCAGGACUUGAGUGGCUUCGGACAGGGCUUCUCAGACCCCAGCCAGCAGCCUCCUUCCUACGGGGGUCCCUCCGUGCCAGGGUCGGGGGGCCCCCCCGCCGGCGGCAGCGGCUUUGGACGAGGGCAGAACCACAACGUGCAAGGGUUCCACCCCUACCGACGCUAGCCCGCGGCGCCGCGACGUCUGCACGGCCCAGACCCAGGAUUCCAAACUUGUGAACUCGUGACAAUCACAAACUUGGCGGCAAAGUGGCGACUCAACCUUGGGGGGGGGGGCGGGGGGAGGGCGCGAGGCUUUUGGAGCGGCUGUGGGUGUCGUCUGGACUGAGGUUUUUAAAUAUUUCUUUCUCUAACCCAUCAGCACAAUAAAAAAAAGUCACUGGUUCAACAACAGGGUUUAAAAAAAAUGUCUUCAGCUUUAAUUCAAAACUUCAGGUUUCUUUUUCUUCCUUUUUUUUGGAAAUUAUUUUCCUGAGCCUUUUGUUUUACGGUAUAUUGUAAACUUUUAUGUUAAAGAAAAAAUAUACAUUUACAAAUUGUGAGAUUUUUAAGAGAAAUUUUCUACGAUG